AUUGAACGCUGGCGGUAUGCCUUACACAUGCAAGUCGAACGGUAGAGGGGCAACCCUUGAGAGUGGCGAACGGGUGAGUAAUACAUAGGAACGUGCCCAGUCGUGGGGGAUAACGGAGCGAAAGCUACGCGAAUACCGCAUACGACCUGAGGGUGAAAGCGGGGGAUCGCAAGACCUCGCGCGAUUGGAGCGGCCGGUGGCAGAUUAGGUAGUUGGGGGGGUAAAGCCCUACCAAGCCUGAGAUCUGUAGCUGAGCGGGGAGGACGACCAGCCACACUGGGACGGAGACCCGGCCCGGCCUCCUACGGGAGGCAGCAGUGGGGAAUUUUGGACAAUGGGCGAAAGCCUGAUCCAGCCAUACCGCGCGCGGGAAGAAGGCCUUCGGGUUGUAAACCGCUUUUGUCAGGGAAGAAAUCUUCUGGGUUAAUACCUCGGGAGGAUGACGGUACCUGAAGAAUAAGCACCGGCUAACUACGUGCCAGCCGCCGCAGUAACAC
rnacentral:rRNA from 1 species